rnacentral:misc_RNA from 1 species
GAUGAAGAACGUAGCGAAAUGCGAUAGGUAGUGUGAAUUGCAGAUGUAACGUGAAUCAUCGAAUCUUUGAACGCAAAUUGCAUUCCCUGGUAUUCCGGGGAGUAUGCCUGUUUGAGGGUCGCCAAAUACACAUCGAUUAACAUUGCUUUUGAAGUAAAUGUUUUAUCGGAUUUGAGCUUUCUUUAUUCUUUACGAUAAAGUGGCUUAAAAUUUAUUUUUUUUGGUAUCAAGCGUAUUUUACUAUCAAUUUUUGAUUAAAAAAGAACGUUUCGAAUGCCAUCCUUUUAAUGUAAUACGUUUGACUAUAUGUAAUAAAUAUGUAGUUCAUUCGCAUACGAUUCAUAAAUUUUUUUUUUUGACCUCAAAUCAGGUAAGAGUACCCGCUGAACUUAAGCAUAUCAAUAAGCGGAGGA